GUUUUUUCACGUUAAAGCCUUUGGGUCUGCUCAUUUUGUGCUUUGAGAUAUUGUUAAGAAUAGUAUCAUACUAUAUACACCAUUAUGUUCAAAACAAUCUCUUGAUUCCUUAUUAUGGACUAGUAUACUCACUGUAGCUAUGCUAGCAAUAAUAGUGAGCCCUUUGAGAAUAUUUACAAAUAAAAAUAUAAUCUAUUUGAGUUCAAAAACUUCUUGCAUCCAACUUAUUUUUAUAUUUUUUAUCUAUUACAUGUUUUAUUUGCCUGUUUAUUACUAUCUGUUUGUCAUAGCAAUGAUCAAUUUACAUGUGGUUAUUGUUGUUUUUCAUAGAACAGUGAUGAUGUAUAGUCUUUGUGAGAAUUUUUUUUCCGAUAUAACUGUCUAAUUUUGAUACCUGAUUGUAGAUUGGUAUCUCAAUUAAUGAGGACAUCUUUUAAAAAAAUUAUAGAAUCAACUUAUUUUGCCUACAGAGUUAUGCCAACCAUGCAGAUUGACUGGAAUAUCUAGUUAAACUGAUUGAAGAUCCACUAUUCACUUAUUAAAUUGAACUUUCCAGAUGUAAUUAAAAUGAUAAUAUAGAUUAGAAAAAGAAAAUUCAGAUUUUCCUUUUGCGAAAGUAUGAUGUGAUAAUAUGGCAGACCUAAAGGCAUUCAUAUAUGCUACUAUGAAUAUAAUUGCAAUGAUUAUAAAUCUGGCAAAAGUAAUACUAAAUAGUCAUUUAUUAUUGAGCUCUAUCUCGAAUAUAUCACCGAUUUGACUCCUGUUUCGUUUUGUGAUUGUUGACUUAUUGAUUGACUUCUUUUAUUUGAUAUUACUUUUACCGAAUUUUACAAAAUUAAAAUUGUAUCAUCUCGCAGCUCGAAUUCAUUUUGCAUGCAAGUUAUUUUAUGUAUUUUUUUGUGUGUAUUACUGUUCUUUUGUUGUUUUAUUACUAUAUUUUAGUCUAACCAAUGACGAACCUACAUAUGCUUAUUUGUUAUUCAGAGAGAUUAUCAUUGCCAUAUUGUGUCCAUUUCAAAUAUUUUUCAUCAAUAGAACUGUCUAAUUUUGACAUGUGACUAUAGAUUGUUAUCUUGAUCAACUGGGACAUUUCUUAGAAAAAUUUAAGGAUGAACAUAUUUUAAUAUUUUGUUUACAGACAUAACCUGUCAACCAAGAUGAAUGGAUGAGAAAACAUAUUGUAAUAUAACUGAUUGAUUGAUUGUCAAUUAUUUCACUCAUAUCCACUAAAUUUCCCUAAAGUUUUUUGAAAGUGUCCACUGACUGUACAGAUUAUAAAAGGACUAUUCAGUUUUAUUUUCUUGUGCAAGAAACAGUAUGACAUACAAACAUCGCUG
rnacentral:lncRNA from 1 species